GUUGAACUGUAAUAGAUAUAUAAUAAUGGAAUGGAACAAUAAUUCUCUCCUCAGAUUACCUGCUGACGGUAAAGGUUCUGGUUCCUCUCCUGGUUUUGAUCGGUUGUUGUGUUUGUCUGUGGUCGUACAGAAACCUGUAAGUCUGCUGAUAUACAGUAUGUGCGGUGAGUGAUGGACUGUACUUCUCUUCUCCGUGGUUCACUGACACUGUCUUUCUCCAUCGUUUCCAGAAUAGGAGGAUUUCCAGAAGAAUCGUUCGGCUUUCUGCACAUAAAAGCACUGGACCUUGAUGAAGAUCUUUAUGAAGCGAGUGAAAAGAUCCGUACUCUGAUGAUAGAGGACUGUGAAUGGUGUGACGUUGAGAUUUUAGACAUGCAGUCCAUCCAAACAGAGAAAACAUGGUUGACGUGCGCAGAGGACCCGAGUUGUUCAUUCAUUACUCCUAAAGUCAUGCUACCAUCCUGCCAUCUUACCACAGACGUAUGGCUGGCCACAGAUCUCACAAACUUCACUUACGUGUCCUCUGUGCAGCAAGAUCUGCCUUCAGAGGAGCUGAAGACAGAAGCCACAAAUCAGGAGUCAGAGAUUUCAGGCUUUUCGAGUGACUACGUCACUUCCGUAGCCACAUAAUUCCUGAAAACGCAGUAUCGUGAUCUUUUAUACACACCAAAGAAAGCAAGCCAGAGCUGUCGAUCUUAUCACGUUCAGCAAGAUCACGGCAUCCUCAUGUCACCAGCGUGUUUGUAAGGGGCCCCGCUUCCUUCUGCAAAACAGCUUUUAAAGACAAGGGUUGUGAAAUGCGACUGCAGUGUUUGAUACAUGAGAUUUUGCAAUAUCUGUCAGGUACUUUAUCUUGGUUUUGCAUGUUAUGCUAGACCUUUCUGGGCAAAAACAUACAAAAUGUUCUCUCUCAAGGGAAAAACAUGUUCUGGAGGGGACAUUUGUAUUAUUCUUUUGUGUAUUUCUAAGCAUUAUGCGUAACCCUUUGCGAUACUGUAUGUAUCAUGAAUUAACAAUGAACAGUUUUACAGUUAAGAUCUUGAAAUGUUAAAAAUG
rnacentral:lncRNA from 1 species